GAAGAGUGUGACACACUGGAACACCACCACAGGCUUGUAUCGCAGCCAGUCGGUCAGCAGGAAUACUGGCACCAGCACACAUAGGUCACCUUGAUGUAACCCACAGAGAAGGCUGCUGCAGCACCUGACCCACAUAAGAAGAAAAAUGAAGUUAUUCAUUUGUUUUUCCCAGCGGACAACACCUCCACUGUGCCUGUGCAUCCUUGCUGUGAUUUCCUGAUUCAUUCAUUAAUAGUUGCACCAGCAUGUCUUUCCUUGAACGUUGGUAUAAAAGGGAAUGUGGCCUCUGAACAAAACCUUAUGCACACACACGGCUUUACAGCACCUGUCUGUUAUGAUGAACUGCUUUCACCCGGCUCUUAGAUUCAACUAUCAGUAAUAAUCAGAGAAUCCAUUACCCGUCUAACUCUAUCUCCUUAAUUGAAGCAAUUACUCUUCUUCUUUUCAUGCUGAGCCAGGUUGAGUGUGAAGGAGCAGGACCACUAUUCCCUCUCGCAAUCAAUACACAUUUUCCAUUUAAUCAGUUAUCCCAUAUAACCAAGAAUGGCAUGGUUGUUUUCUUUUAAUUGCAAGUUUUUAUAUGUGCCAUCAGACAUGGCUGCUUUAAUAACAUUGUUAAAUUUUAUCUUGGCUCUAUAUAAUGUGGUUGUGCUGCAGUUUCUCCGCUCCCUUUGUGUCGCUUCAAUUCCUAAUGCCCGUCCUCAAUGUGAUGACAUUCUGUGACCUCCUGUUUCUAUGAAUCCUCUGCUCUGCUGUGAGAUUACAGUGUCCAAAAAAUAUACACUGUCUGUUA